GACAAUCGAUGGCGGCGUCCCUAAUACAGCACGUCGAGCGGACGAAUAAAAAGCUUGCUUUUUGAUUCGUUAGCGGCGGGACGGGUGAGUAACACGUGGGCAACCUGCCCCUGUAGACGGGGAUAACACCGAGAAAUCGGUGCUAAUACCGGAUAACACGAAAUGUCGCAUGACGUUUCGUUGAAAGACGGCGCAAGCUGUCGCUACAGGGAUGGGCCCGCGGCGCAUUAGCUAGUUGGUGAGGUAACGGCUCACCAAGGCGACGAUGCGUAGCCGACCUGAGAGGGUGAUCGGCCACACUGGGACUGAGACACGGCCCAGACUCCUACGGGAGGCAGCAGUAGGGAAUCUUCCGCAAUGGACGAAAGUCUGACGGAGCAACGCCGCGUGAGCGAAGAAGGCCUUCGGGUCGUAAAGCUCUGUUGUUAGGGAAGAACAAGUAACGCAGUAACUGGCGUUACCGUGACGGUACCUAACGAGAAAGCCACGGCUAACUACGUGCCAGCAGCCGCGGUAAUACGUAGGUGGCAAGCGUUGUCCGGAAUUAUUGGGCGUAAAGCGCGCGCAGGCGGUUCCUUAAGUCUGAUGUGAAAGCCCACGGCUCAACCGUGGAGGGUCAUUGGAAACUGGGGGACUUGAGUGCAGAAGAGGAGAGCGGAAUUCCACGUGUAGCGGUGAAAUGCGUAGAGAUGUGGAGGAACACCAGUGGCGAAGGCGGCUCUCUGGUCUGUAACUGACGCUGAGGCGCGAAAGCGUGGGGAGCAAACAGG
rnacentral:rRNA from 1 species